AGAGCGAACGCUGGCGGCAGGCCUAAUACAUGCAAGUCGAACGGACCCUUCGGGGUUAGUGGCGGACGGGUGAGUAACACGUGGGAACGUGCCCUUUGGUUCGGAACAACUCAGGGAAACUUGAGCUAAUACCGAAUGUGCCCUUCGGGGGAAAGAUUUAUCGCCAUUGGAGCGGCCCGCGUCUGAUUAGCUAGUUGGUGAGGUAAAGGCUCACCAAGGCUACGAUCAGUAGCUGGUCUGAGAGGAUGAUCAGCCACACUGGGACUGAGACACGGCCCAGACUCCUACGGGAGGCAGCAGUAGGGAAUCUUGCGCAAUGGGCGAAAGCCUGACGCAGCCAUGCCGCGUGAAUGAUGAAGGUCUUAGGAUUGUAAAAUUCUUUCAGCGGGGACGAUAAUGACGGUACCCGCAGAAGAACGCCCGGCUAACUUCGCGCCAGCAGCCGC
rnacentral:rRNA from 1 species